GGAGAGAUGGCUUAGCAGGGUAGAGCACUGGUUCAUCUUCCAAAGAACUUGGGUUCAAUUCCCAGUAUCUACA
rfam:Mesocricetus auratus contig074121, whole genome shotgun sequence.